GUACAAGAGUAACUGCUUGUACCUUGACGGUACCUAACCAGAAAGCCACGGCUAACUACGUGCCAGCAGCCGCGGUAAUACGUAGGUGGCAAGCGUUAUCCGGAAUUAUUGGGCGUAAAGCGCGCGCAGGCGGUUUCUUAAGUCUGAUGUGAAAGCCCACGGCUCAACCGUGGAGGGUCAUUGGAAACUGGGGAACUUGAGUGCAGAAGAGAAAAGCGGAAUUCCACGUGUAGCGGUGAAAUGCGUAGAGAUGUGGAGGAACACCAGUGGCGAAGGCGGCUUUUUGGUCUGUAACUGACGCUGAGGCGCGAAAGCGUGGGGAGCAAACAGGAUUAGAUACCCUGGUAGUCCACGCCGUAAACGAUGAGUGCUAAGUGUUAGAGGGUUUCCGCCCUUUAGUGCUGCAGCUAACGCAUUA
rnacentral:rRNA from 2 species